AGGGGCCUGUCCUAUAACCGAUAAUCCACGAAAAACCUUACCAUCCCUUGCCACCAGCCUAUAUACCGCCGUCUCCAGCACAUUUUCCAAAAAAUGAGGCUAAAUAGUCCCGCACACUAACACGUCAGGUCAAGGUGUAGCUUAUGAGAUGGAAGAGGCGGACCACAAUACCACAACACACGGAAACCUCGUUGAAACACGAGGAAAAAGACGAAUUUAGCAGUAAGUGGAACAGAAUGCCCCACUGAACCACCCGCCCUAGAGUACGCACACACCGCCCGUCACCCU
rnacentral:rRNA from 1 species